GAGUUUGAUCAUGGCUCAGAUUGAACGCUGGCGGCAUGCCUUACACAUGCAAGUCGAACGGCAGCGGGGGAAAGCUUGCUUUCCUGCCGGCGAGUGGCGAACGGGUGAGUAAUACAUCGGAACGUGCCCUGUAGUGGGGAUAACUAGUCGAAAGAUUAGCUAAUACCGCAUACGACCUGAGGGUGAAAGUGGGGGACCGCAAGGCCUCAUGCUAUAGGAGCGGCCGAUGUCUGAUUAGCUAGUUGGUGGGGUAAAGGCCUACCAAGGCGACGAUCAGUAGCUGGUCUGAGAGGACGAUCAGCCACACUGGGACUGAGACACGGCCCAGACUCCUACGGGAGGCAGCAGUGGGGAAUUUUGGACAAUGGGCGAAAGCCUAGAUCCAGCAAUGCCGCGUGUGUGAAGAAGGCCUUC
rnacentral:rRNA from 1 species